GACGGGGGGGGCAAGUGUUCUUCGGAAUGACUGGGCGUAAAGGGCGCGUAGGUGGCCAACUAAGUCAGACGUGAAAUCCCUCGGCUUAACCGGGGAACUGCGUCUGAUACUGGAUGGCUUGAGUUUGGGAGAGGGAUGCGGAAUUCCAGGUGUAGCGGUGAAAUGCGUAGAUAUCUGGAGGAACACCGGUGGCGAAGGCGGCAUCCUGGACCAACACUGACACUGAGGAGCGAAAGCCAGGGGAGCAAACGGG
rnacentral:rRNA from 1 species